GCCAUCUCCCCGGCACCUGCCAACAUGGAAAGAGGCGACGGCGGCCUCGGUCUGCCUGGCCGUCCAGCUCUGGGCUCCGGAGCGGCUGCAGCGACUGUCCGGGAGCUCCUGCAGGACGAGUGUUAUAGUGAUUUUUUAAAUGAAGACUUUGAUGUAAAAACUUAUACUUCUCGAUCUAUUCAUCAAGCUGUAAUUGCUGAACAGCUAGCAAAACUUGCCCAAGGAAUCAGUCAGUUGGAUAAAGAACUGCACUUACAGGUUGUUGCAAGACAUGAAGAUUUAUUGGCACAAGCAACUGGGAUUGAGUCUUUGGAAGGUGUCCUUCAGAUGAUGCAGACAAGAAUUGGGGCUUUACAGGGAGCUGUUGAUAGGAUGAAAGCAAAAAUUGUUGAGCCAUACAAUAAAAUAGUAGCCCGUACUGCUCAACUAGCAAGACUUCAGGUUGCCUGUGAUUUGCUUCGGAGAAUCAUUCGCAUCUUGUAUCUCAGUAAGAGACUCCAGGGACAACUGCAGGGGGGAAGUAGAGAGAUAACAAAAGCUGCUCAGAGUCUCAGUGAGCUUGAUUAUCUUUCUCAAGGAAUAGAUCUUGCUGGAAUAGAAGUAAUAGAAAAUGAUCUACUUUUUGUUGCGAGAGCUCGACUUGAAGUGGAAAAUCAAGCUAAGCGCCUCCUGGAGCAGGGUGUGGAGACUCAGAAUCCAACCCAGGUCGGAACAGCUCUUCAGGUUUUCCAUAAUCUUGGAACUUUGAAGGAUACUAUUACCAGUGUCGUGGAUGGAUAUUGUGCUGCUAUAGAAGAAAAUAUCCACAGUGCAUUAGACAUCAAAGUUUUGACUCAGCCUUCCCAGUCAGCUGUGAGAGGGGCACCUGGACGAUCUACCAUGCCAGCCCCAGGAAACACUGCAGCGUUUCGUGCUUCCCUUUGGACCAAUAUGGAGAAACUUGUGGAUCAUAUUUUUACUGUUUGUGGCCAGGUACAACAUCUGCAAAAAAUAUUAGCCAAGAAGAGAGACCCUGUCUCUCACAUUUGUUUCAUUGAAGAAAUAGUUAAGGAUGGACAUGCUGAAAUUUUAUACACGUUUUGGAAUUCAGUUACUCAGGCACUUUCUUCUCAGUUUCAGACAGCAACAAACUCUUCUAUGUUUUUGAAACAGGCAUUUGAAGGAGAAUACCCUAAAUUAUUGCGUCUUUAUAAUGACUUAUGGAAGCGUCUUCAACAAUACAGCCAAAGUAUUCAAGGAAAUUUUAAUUCCAGUGGAACUGCAGACCUCUAUGCUGACUUACAACACAUGGAAGAUGAUACACAAGACAUAUUCAUACCAAAGAAGCCAGAUUAUGAUCCCGGAAAGGCUUUGAAAGACUCACUACAACCCUAUGAGGCUGCUUAUCUAUCAAAAUCCUUAUCUCGACUCUUUGAUCCGAUCAACUUGGUUUUUCCCCCUGGUGGUCGUAAUCCUCCUUCUGCCGAUGAACUUGAAGGUAUCAUUAAAACUAUAGCAAGUGAACUAAAUGUAGCUGCUGUUGAUGCAGACCUCACAUUAGCUGUGUCAAAAAACGUGGCAAAGACCAUCCAGUUGUAUGGUGUAAAAUCAGAGCAGCUGCUCUCCACCCAAGGAGAUGCAAGUCAGGUGAUUGGACCUCUUACCGAAGGGCAGAGAAGAAAUGUGGCAGUAGUGAAUUCACUAUAUAAGUUGCACCAAUCGGUAACAAAGGUGGUUUCCAGUCAGAGCUCAUUCCCACCAGCAGCUGAGCAAACUAUAAUUUCAGCCCUAAAGGUGGUCCAUGUUCUUAUGGGAAAUGCUGUGCAGCCCUUGCUGACUUCCGUGGGAGAUGCUAUAGAGGCCAUCAUCAUCACUAUGCAUCAAGAAGAUUUUUCUGGGUCAUUACCCAGUUCAGGAAAGCCUGAUGUUCCCUGUUCUCUCUACAUGAAGGAGCUUCAAGGUUUUAUCGCCAGAGUUAUGAGUGACUACUUUAAACACUUUGAAUGCUUGGAUUUUGUCUUUGACAACACUGAAGCUAUUGCCCAAAGAGCCAUUGAACUCUUUAUCCGAAAUGCCAGUCUCAUAAGACCUCUUGGUGAAGGUGGGAAAAUGCGUCUUGCUGCUGAUUUUGCGCAGAUGGAGUUGGCUGUGGGUCCGUUCUGCAGAAGAGUAUCUGAUUUAGGAAAGUCCUAUCGAAUGCUGAGGUCAUUCAGACCACUGCUCUUCCAGACAAGUGAACACGUGGCCAGUAGCCCUGCACUGGGGGACAUUAUUCCAUUCAGCAUCAUUAUUCAGUUUUUGUUCACAAGAGCACCCCCUGAGCUGAGAUCCCCCUUCCAGAGGGCCGAGUGGUCCCACGCACGCUUCUCCCAGUGGCUGGAUGACCAUCCCUCUGAAAAGGACAGGCUCCUCCUCGUCAGAGUCACUUAUGGAGCUUUGAAAAAUCCACGUGUCAAGGCCACACCCUGACUGCCUCGGAAUCUCCCUGGGAGCCAGCAUCGGGAUUUCUUAAAGUGGCCCGCGGCUCCGCAGCACAGCUGGGGCUUCACAGCACAGUCGUCAAGUGCGAGCCCACCCCACUCCACUCCCCCUGCCGCCGAGGAAGGAAGCUGUGGGGGUCGUGGAGGAAGCCUCAGCCUGCCAGAUCCGGGAGCGGCGCCGAGUCCUCAAGUGUGGCGACCGGCGCCCCGGGGGAGCGCCCGGCCCUGCCAGUGGAUAAAGAGGAGGGUGGCCCGCGCCCCUGCUCUUCUUCCGUGCUGGCCGCUUGUCCUCUCAGCUCUGAGUAUCUGAGCGAAGAGUGGGGUGGGACGCGUGGUGAAGCUGUCACCGCCAGUGCGGCUUCUGGUUAAACGGCCCUCAGAAGAGGCCCCAGGUGUGGACGGGGGACUCCGCCGGGGCUGGUGUGGGGCUUUGCGGUGCCCUCCCCGAGUCCCGUUGACUCGCCAGCUGCAGCCCACUGGCUAGUACAGGAGUGCGCAGGGCUCAGUUGAUGGAACAGGGCGCACCUUUGUCCUCUAACGAGUUGCACUGAGCUCAUCUACAACAGUUGUCCUGCUAUGGGCACAUCACAAAUCUGCUUCCUUUUGCUUCUUUUUAAAAAUGUCUCCCGAGUGAUUUCAUCGGCAGUGCUGUUGCUGAGCCUAUAUUUAGCAACCGAAAACCGUGCUCAGAAAUGCUGUCAAGCUUUUUGAAUCAGGCCUGCGCAUCACGCCACGCAUGGCUGAUACCAGAGCCUUCGGUCCUGAGCAGGGAAUGAAGCCCUCCUCGGGGGCUCCAAACCCUGUGCUCCUGCUCCGGCCCAGGCUGCUAACAAAGCAGGAAGCUCUGUCCUAGAGAACGUCCUUUCUUACCUGUUAUUGCAAAACUGAUUUCAUCCCUGCAUACUGAAGCACCACUGGAUGAAUUUCUUGCCCCUGUAGAUAAACCUAGGGGGUGCCCUGGAAGCUUAUGUUCAAUCAGUUAAAAGCAGAGAAGGCAAAGAAUUUGCACCAGUUUAUCCCAUAAUGGUUCAGCUGCUUCAAAAAGCUAUGUCUGCU